AACCGGUUUGCGCCGGUGGCUCGGGCUCCCCCCUCCCGCCGAGCCCCGGGGCCGCCAUUGGCGGCUGCGAGCACCGAAAGCAGCGCAAUCCCCCCAAAACGCAGCCGUGAGUCCCGCGCCCCCGGUGCCCGGUGGAAAUCCCGGUCCCGUGCGGGGGAGAGGGGACGGGCACAGGGCACCGUCCCCCCCCCAGCCGUGGGGAGGGGGCUGGCAGUGCCCCCCCAUCACUGGGGGCUGGGGAGGGUUUGGGGACACCACCCGGGAGUGCCCAGGGGCGAGAGCUGGGCUGGGAGGGGGUCCUGGGGUUCCCAAACCCCCUCCCCCGGUGCCCCUGGCCCCCCUCAGCAAGGAGAGCUUUGGCUGCUGCCCCUCCAGCACAGGGGUGUCCCCGAGGUGCCCAUCCCGGUGCUGUCCCCAUCCCUGCAGCUCCUCCAUCCCCAUCCCAGUCGUGUCCCCAUCCCUGUGGCGCCUCCGUCCCAGUCCCCAUGGUGCCCCUGCAGCAUCUUCAUCCUGGCCCCCGCGGUUCUCCCAUCCCUGUGGCAUCUCCAUCCUAGUCCCAGUGACGUCCCAUCCCUGUGGCACCUUGAUCCCAGUCCCAACAGCGUCCCAUCCCUGCAGCAUCCCAGUGCCGGUGCUGUCCCAGCCCUGUGUGUGUCCCAGUGUGUCUCAGUGUGUCCCCGUGGCUCCGUGCGGUGCCACCGCCGCUGCCCCGGCCCUGCCGCCGUGCCCACGCUCAUUUCCAUGAUGCCAAGGUUCCCUGUCCCCUGGCCUCGGGUGGCUGUGACAAUAUCCUGGCUGCUCGCCAAGUAUCGGGGUUGCCAUGGAAACAAUAAAACUGCAGCGAUUUCAGGCUCCGGCUCCCACUGGAAACGUGGAAGCACCGGAGCGGGAAGGAGGCGAUUCCCCAAAUCCUCACCCCGCUCCUGCCGUGCCCAGCUGGCUUUGCUGGGUGUUCCUGGCCGGGGGGAGGUGGCCAGCACCAGGCUUGGGAUUUUCUGUCGAAAAAAGUAUGGAAUUUUGGCUGGAGAUGCCUUUUCCAUGGAACCAACCCAAAAUACACUUCUUUUUGUGUGUGUAUGUGUGCGCACAGCCACAGGUGGGGAUUUCCUGACAGGGGGGAUUUGUCCCCACCCAGACGUGUCCAAGGUGUUGGGGACCCACUUGGGGUGA
rnacentral:lncRNA from 13 species